rnacentral:rRNA from 1 species
UACGUAGGGUGCAAGCGUUGUCCGGAAUUAUUGGGCGUAAAGGGCUCGUAGGCGGUUUGUCGCGUCGGGAGUGAAAACCCAGGGCUUAACUCUGGGCUUGCUUUCGAUACGGGCAGACUGGAGGUAUGCAGGGGAGAACGGAAUUCCUGGUGUAGCGGUGAAAUGCGCAGAUAUCAGGAGGAACACCGGUGGCGAAGGCGGUUCUCUGGGCAUGUCCUGACGCUGAGGAGCGAAAGUGUGGGGAGCGAACAGG